GUAGGUGAACCUGCGGAGGAUCUUACUGAAUUGUCAAACGGGUUGUUGCUGGCCCUCAUAGGGGGCAUGUGCACGCUCUGUUUACACAUCCACUCACACCUGUGCACCCUCUGUAGUUCUAUGGUCUGGGGGACCCUGUCUUCCUUCUGUGGUUCUACGUCUUUACACACACACUUGUAAUAAAGUUUUAUGGAAUGUACAUCGCGUCUAACGCAAUACAAUACAACUUUCAGCAACGGAUCUCUUGGCUCUCGCAUCGAUGAAGAACGCAGCGAAAUGCGAUAAGUAAUGUGAAUUGCAGAAUUCAAGUGAAUCAUCGAAUCUUUGAACGCACCUUGCGCCCCUUGGCUAUUCCGAGGGGCAUGCCUGUUUGAGUAUCAUGAACACCUCAACUCUCAUGGUUUGCCAUGAUGAGUUGGACUCUGGGGGUUUUGCUGGCCUGUGGUCGGCUCCUCUCAAAUUAAUCAGCCUCCCAGUGUUUGGUGGCAUCACGGGUGUGAUAAAUAUCUACGCUCGCUGUUGUCUGCCAGGUAACCUUUGGUCUACAAAGGUUUGCUGGAGCUCACAAGUAUGUCUCUCCUCAGCGAGGACAGCUUUUUUAACGUUCGA
rnacentral:rRNA from 1 species